rfam:Aedes aegypti strain Liverpool supercont1.121 genomic scaffold, whole genome shotgun sequence.
UGCCCAGCAACUCCUAUCCCUACCUCCUCGUGGUACUGGCCGGGGUACGAGUAACCUUAGGGAAGAUCGGGUAACCAACCCCCGGUCGGAACUUUGGUCGUAUGCUGACAGGGAAGG